GGACUCUUCCGGCUUCCGAUCUUGUGUGGCGUCUUUCCAAACUCCUCCGAUCGUCCGAGCUUCCAUAAUACCAUCCGGACUUCUCCAAUAAUGAGCUCCUCCAUUCAUCUACCAAAUUGCUCCAAACGCUCUCUGAGUUUUACUAUCAGCUGAUUUUCUACAGUGAUCGACUAUUCUCUGAAUCUCAACCUAGACUUCUUCCGACCACG
rnacentral:lncRNA from 1 species